GUGCUUAACACAUGCAAGUCGAACGCGAAAGGGUAGCAAUACCCGAGUAGAGUGGCGAACGGGUGAGUAAUGUGUGGGUAAUUUGCCUUUUAGAGGGGGAUAACCCGGCGAAAGCUGAGCUAAUACCCCAUAACAUCACAGUGUCUUCGGACGUUAUGAUCAAAUGAUGGCCUCUAUUUAUAAGCUAUCGCUAAAAGAUGAGCCCACAUCCUAUCACGCUUGUUGGUGGGGUAAUGGCCCACCAAGGCGACGACGGGUAGCCGGCCUGAGAGGGUGUCCGGCCACACUGGAACUGAGACACGGUCCAGACUCCUACGGGAGGCAGCAGUGGGGAAUUUUUCGCAAUGGGCGAAAGCCUGACGAAGCAACGCCGCGUGGAGGAUGACGGCCCUCGUGGUCUUAAACUCCUGUCUAGCGGGACGAAAGUAUUGGAGGUGAAUAAUCUCCGAUAUUGACUGUACCGCUGGAGGAAGCUCCGGCCAACUCCGUGCCAGCAGCCGCGGUAAUACGGAGGGAGCAAGCGUUACUCGGAAUUAUUGGGCGUAAAGGGCGCGUAGGCGAUCUGACAAGUUCUGUGUGAAAGCCCACAUGUUAACUGUGGAAGUGCACCGAAAACUGUUGGAUUUGAGUUCAGGAGAGGAAGGCAGAAUUCCCGGUGUAGCGGUGAAAUGCGUAGAGAUCGGGAGGAAUACCAGUGGCGAAGGCGGCCUUCUGGACUGACACUGACGCUGAGGCGCGAAAGCCAGGGGAGCAAACGGGAUUAGAUACCCCGGUAGUCCUGGCUGUAAACGAUGUGCACUUGGUGUGAGCCGGUUUUCGGUUCGUGCCGAAGUUAACGCAUUAAGCGCCCCGCCUGGGGAGUACGGCCGCAAGGCUAAAACUCAAAGGAAUUGACGGGGGCCCGCACAAGCGGCGGAGCAUGUGGAUUAAUUCGAUGCAACGCGAAGAACCUUACCUGGGUUUGACAUGCACAGGACGCUCGUAGAGAUACGGGUUCCCUUGUGGCCUGUGUGCAGGUGGUGCAUGGCUGUCGUCAGCUCGUGUCGUGAGAUGUUGGGUUAAGUCCCGCAACGAGCGCAACCCUCGUUCCAUGUUGCCAGCGGGUAAUGCCGGGGACUCAUGGGAGACUGCCGGGGUCAACUCGGAGGAAGGUGGGGAUGACGUCAAGUCAUCAUGCCCCUUAUGUCCAGGGCUUCACACAUGCUACAAUGGCCGGUACAGAGGGUUGCGAGACCGUGAGGUGGAGCGAAUCCCUUAAAGCCGGUCUCAGUUCGGAUCGGGGUCUGCAACUCGACCCCGUGAAGUCGGAGUCGCUAGUAAUCGCAGAUCAGCAAUGCUGCGGUGAAUACGUUCCCGGGCAUUGUACUCACCGC
rnacentral:rRNA from 1 species